UAGCUAAUACCGGAUAAGAAAAGCAGAUCGCAUGAUCAGCUUUUAAAAGGCGGCGUAAGCUGUCGCUAUGGGGGGUGGCCCCGCGGUGCAUUAGCUAGUUGGUAAGGUAAAGGCUUACCAAGGGCGAUGAUGCAUAGCCCGAGUUGAGAGACUGAUCGGCCACAUUGGGGACUGAGACACGGGCCCAAACUCCUACGGGAGGCAGCAGUAGGGAAUCUUCCACAAUGGACGCAAGUCUGAUGGAGCAAACGCCACGUGAGUGAAGAAGGUUUUCGGAUCGUAAAGCUCUGUUGUUGGUGAAGAAGGAUAGAGGUAGUAACUGGCCCUUUAUUUGACGGUAAUCAACCAGAAAGUCACGGGCUAACUACGUGCCAGCAGCCGCGGUAAAU
rnacentral:rRNA from 1 species